GGAGAGGCCAGCGCGGAGCCGGCGGCGGGGGCAGCGCUCGGGGGCGGCGGGCGGCGCGCGGCGCGGGGGCCCGGCCGCGGAGUUGACGGAUGAUGGCCCACAGCCAGUCUCGGAAGCGAUCGCGAAGCAGGACCAAAAGCAAUUCUCGGAGCAGACAGGAGCGGAAGGAGAAGAAAAGGAGGAAAAGCAGCAAGGACUCGCCCCGGGGCAGCAGCUCUCCUCCGAGGAAGCAGACCUCUGGGUCUCACAGACACAAGUCGAGCUCAGCAGCAGCUGGGGAAGAAAAGAAGAAGGAAAGAAAGCACAAAAAGAAGAGGAAGGCAAGUACCUCUUCCUCUGAGACAGUGUCUUCAUCCACCGGCUCUUCCUCAUCUUCCUCUUCCUCCAGCUCUUCUUCUGAUGACUCCAGUGACAGUGAAUCCAAAACAAAGAAGAGUCGACACAGAAAAAAAAAGCGAGCAAAACAGAAAGACAAAAAGAAGAAGAAGAGGAAGAAGAAGAAAAUAAAGAAAUCAAAAAAGAAGUUAAAGGAAAGGGCUAAGGAGGAGAAAGCCAAGGGAGAAGCAGUGCCCGGCCCCUCGCUGGAGCAGUGGCAGAAGGAAUCACUGGUGGACUCUGGACCAGUUUUGACAGACGAACAAAAAUCCCGAAUCCAGGCUAUGAAGCCAAUGACAAAGGAAGAAUGGGACGCGAGGCAGAGUGUCAUAAGGAGAGUGGUGGAUCCCGAAACGGGGAGAACCAGGCUUAUUAAGGGAGACGGAGAAAUACUAGAAGAAAUUGUCAGCAAGGAGAGACACAAGGAGAUUAACAAGCAAGCCACCCGCGGGGACGGGCUGGCCUUCCAGGCAAGGACAGGGCUGCUGCAGUGAGCCCAGGCCUGAGCCUCUGUCUCCAGACCACGCAGACAGCACUGCAGCAAGAUGCAUCCCCAGGAACAGUUUUCAGCCGCUCUAGUCUCCCCCCAAAAAAGCAGACAGAGAAGAGCCUUCCCAUUUCUUUAAUCUGUGUAACUCACAAUGAUACUGUACACAAAGCACACCCAGGCAUUGGAACAAUGCACUAACAGCAAGGAGGAGAAGGAAGUUGUACAGAAGGUUUGUCACACACAAGCGAGUCAUCGGCACGGUACUGUGCACACAGGGGCGUACCCAGCGCGGCUGCCGGCGCCCUCGGGCAUGCCCUCCGGUGGGUCCCCACACACGCGUCUGUUACCCCUAAAGCGAUUUUUUAUAAAUAAAAUAUAACUAACAUCGUUGGAAUAUAAAAUUGACAGUCGAGGGUAUCAACAGGCAGGGGGUGCUGAGGACAGGGAGGGGACCGUAAGGCUUCUAGAACUAAUAGGAAAUGCAGCAAACGGUGGCGAUACCUGAAGAAGGGGCUGCUACAGCAAGCACGGCGGCUGCUGGGCGGAGCGGGAGUUUGUUAGUAACCCUUUGGCUAGUUACUGCUCUCGGCUCGCGUAUCGGACACUGUAAACGUUUUUGGUAUUAGAAUUUCGCCUCAUCUGACUGAGAGAUCUAGCAAAUCCAGGAAAACAACUCGGAGGGAAUGCACGGGCUCCUCUUUGUAUUUUUUAAAAGACUUUAAAGGGACAACGUCAGGUAGAAAGUCUGGCCCAAUAGCGCAGUAAUACAAAAAGCUGCUUUUUAUAAAAAAUCUGAGCUCCACAGCAGAGUUUGAUUCCCAUGGAAACAAUAAAAAAAAAAAAAAAACCAAAAAAACCACGGAGGCAGCCUGCGCAGCGCGGGCUGUAUUGUGCUAGUGUGCGAGAACAGGACGUGGGCUGCAGCAGAAGCAGCGCGACUGUCGCUGGUCGCGCCAGUGGCUGCCCAGACAACGGCGAUAGGGAGGAGUACAAGAAACUUUAUAUUCUUCCGUUUUGAAGCAAACAUUUGCAACAAAGAUAAAUUAGGUCUGUAACCUGACAGUGCCCCUUUAGCAAAGAUGGAAUAUACAUUCAUCUUUCCCUCACUGCAUCCAAACGGCUCCUCUUCCAUACAUGUGGAAAGGCAUCAGGUCACAUGCAUUGCUCUCCAAAACAGCUUGGAACAAACAGGUUAUAAACACAGAGUUAAACUAUUGCUAUUGUUCUUUGAGUGAGUAGCACGUUGAUCUUUGCUUCAGAUAGAUGAGUGCCAGAUGGGGGCGGCUGAGGAUAGACUGAUGUAGACUAUGAUGGACUGAACCGGUGGAGAAAAACUUACUGGCAUAUUUCCUGGUAACUACACCCACCUCAUCUGGUAUUAUUGCAGCAAUAAAGGUCCUGCUCUACAAUUGCUUCUCCAUGUUGGAUCCGUACAAUGGCAACAGAUGGGGGGCCAGGGAAAGGACCCAGGCGAGUUUCAAGAAGCUCAACAAAGGAUGAGGACGGAGGUGCUAUGAUUGUCAGUCUAACUGGUUAGUAGCUGUUUAAAACAUGAAGUGAUGGAGAGGUGAGUAUAAUAUUGCACUUCUGCAUUCAUUGACAGUUACAUUAAACUUGGUCCAUAAAAUAAUUGCUUUGUACAUAAUGCCUGAAACAAAAAGCUACAUUUUUAAAUAUUAAUAAACCCUGAAGGUUCCAGUC